UUAAUUAUAGCUAACAAAGCAGUGUCAUUGUUAAUGAUUAGAUAAGAUGAACUUUAAUUAAG
rnacentral:tRNA from 1 species